UCGCUCCUACUGAUUGAGUGACCCGGUAAAUAAUUUUGGAUCAUAAUGUCGCUCAGCUCCAGAGCAAUGCUGUGCAAAGUUUGGUGAACCUUGUCACUUAGAGGAAGGAG
rnacentral:rRNA from 1 species